GACGAACGCUGGCGGCGUGCUUAACACAUGCAAGUCGAACGGAAACGCCCUGCUUUUGUGGGGUGCUCGAUUGGCGAACGGGUGAGUAACACGUGAGUAACCUGCCCUUGACUUUGGGAUAACUUCAGGAAACUGGGGCUAAUACCGGACAGGAGCUCCUGCUGCAUGGUGGGCGGUGGAAAGUUUCGGCGGUUGGGGAUGGACUCGCGGCUUAUCAGCUUGUUGGUGGGGUAGUUGCUUACCAAUGCUUUGACGGGUAGCCGGCCUGAGAGGGUGACCGGCCACAUUGGGACUGAGAGACGGCCCAGACUCCUACGGGAGGCAGCAGUGGGGAAGAUUGCACAAGGGGCGGAAGCCUGAUGCAGCAACGCCGCGUGCGGGAUGACGGCCUUCGGGUUGUAAACCGCUUUCGCCUGUGACGAAGCGUGAGUGACGGUAAUGGGUAAAGAAGCACCGGCUAACUACGUG
rnacentral:rRNA from 1 species